rnacentral:rRNA from 1 species
UACAGAGGGGGCAAGCGUUAUUCGGAAUUAUUGGGCGUAAAGGGCGCGUAGGCGGCUUUGCAAGUGACGGGUGAAAUCCCUCGGCUUAACCGAGGAACUGCCUGUCAAACUGCAUGGCUUGAGACCGGGAGAGGUGAGUGGAAUUCCCGGUGUAGCGGUGAAAUGCGCAGAUAUCGGGAGGAACACCAAUGGCGAAGGCAGCUCACUGGGACGGUACUGACGCUGAGACGCGAAAGCGUGGGGAGCAAACAGG